GAUGAAGAACGUAGCGAAAUGCGAUAAGUAAUGUGAAUUGCAGAAUUCAGUGAAUCAUCGAAUCUUUGAACGCACAUUGCGCCCGCCAGUAUUCUGGCGGGCAUGCCUGUUCGAGCGUCAUUUCAACCAUCAAGCCCCAGGCUUGUGUUGGGGACCUGCGGCUGCCGCAGGCCCUGAAAACCAGUGGCGGGCUCGCUAGUCACACCGAGCGUAGUAGCAUACACAUCGCUCAGGGCGUGCUGCGGGUUCCGGCCGUUAAACCCCUUUUUUACCCAAGGUUGACCUCGGAUCAGGUAGGAAGACCCGCUGAACUUAAGCAUAUCAAUAACGGAGGA
rnacentral:misc_RNA from 1 species